GUGGGGAAUAUUGGGCAAUGGGGGAAACCCUGACCCAGCAACGCCGCGUGAAGGAAGAAGGUUUUCGGAUCGUAAACUUCUAUCCUUGGUGAAGAUAAUGUCGGUAGCCAAGAAGGAAGCCCCGGCUAACUACGUGCCAGCAGCCGCGGUAAUACGUAGGGGGCAAGCGUUGUCCGGAAUGAUUGGGCGUAAAGGGCGCGUAGGCGGCCUGGUAAGUCUGGAGUGAAAGUCCUGCUUUUAAGGUGGGAAUUGCUUUGGAUACUGUCGGGCUUGAGUGCAGGAGAGGUAAGCGGAAUUCCCGGUGUAGCGGUGAAAUGCGUAGAGAUCGGGAGGAACACCAGUGGCGAAGGCGGCUUACUGGACUGUAACUGACGCUGAGGCGCGAAAGUGUGGGGAGCAAACAGGAUUAGAUACCCCUGUAGUCC
rnacentral:rRNA from 1 species